GUUUUGUGAAGACGAAGUGGCCACAGAGAAGUUUCUUCCGUGUAAACAUCUUUUGUUAUGUAAGAAAUGCUCUAUCCGAAAGAUACCUAAAUGAUGCCCUAUGUGUGGACAGAAUAUAACAGGCAAAAAUAGUUUGGUUGGUCGGCAUUCAUCGAAGAGGGAAGUCCAGAUGUUGGCAGACUCAGUUGUGUCUCAAAUGUUUGAGGACAAGGGUGUACAAACUGAUCCCUUGUCAUUGCAGUCUACAUCCCAGCAAGGUGAGUCUGUAAACCUGGGUGAGAAACAUCUUCAUAGUGUAGCAAAGAAGUGAGGGAAUAAAUGGCAGCAAGUUGGAAGGGAAUUAAGAAUCAAACAAGUGGACCUGGAUGUUAUCAAAUACAAUUACUCUAAUGAUGUUGUAGAACAGAGUUUCCAGAUGUUGUAUAAAUGGUUUACAAGUUGCGAUCCACCGAAACGUACGCUUGGAACUUUAAAGGAUGCUCUUAAUAAAACGGAGUGUUUCGAUGCACAUCUGUCAUUAGACGUAAAUUGAAU